AGAGUUUGAUCAUGGCUCAGAGCGAACGCUGGCGGCAGGCUUAACACAUGCAAGUCGAGCGGGUGUAGCAAUACAUCAGCGGCAGACGGGUGAGUAACGCGUGGGAACGUACCUUUUGGUUCGGAACAACCCAGGGAAACUUGGACUAAUACCGGAUAAGCCCUUACGGGGAAAGAUUUAUCGCCUUGGGAGCAGCGAUCGUCCUAUCAGGUAGUUGGCGGGGUAAAGGCCCACCAAGCCGAAGACGGGUAGCGGGUGUGAGAGCACGGCCCGCGACAUCGAGACUGAGACACUGCUCGGACUCCUACGGGAGGCUGCAGUAACGAAUAUUCCGCAAUGCGCGAAAGCGUGACGGAGCAAUGCCGCGUGCAGGAUGAAGCGGUUUCGCCGUGUAAACUGCUGUCAGGGGCAAGAAACACUGAUCUGCCCCAGAGGAAGAGCCGGCUAACCCUGUGCCAGCAGCCGCGGUAAGACAGGGGGCUCGAGCGUUAAUCGGAAUCACUGGGCUUAAAGGGUGCGUAGGCGGGCCGGUAAGCGUCUUGUGAAAUCCCCCGGCUCAACCGGGGAACCGCGGGGCGAACUGCUGGUCUAGAGGAAGCUAGAGGCCGGUAGAACGAUUGGUGGAGCGGUGGAAUGCGUAGAUAUCAAUCGGAAUGCCGAAAGUGAAGACGCCGGCUGGAGCUUUCCUGACGCUGAGGCACGAAAGCGUGGGGAGCAAACGGGAUUAGAUACCCUAGUAGUCC
rnacentral:rRNA from 1 species